GACGAACGCUGGCGGCAUGCCUAAUACAUGCAAGUCGAGCGAACAGAUGAAGUGCUUGCACUUCUGACGUUAGCGGCGAACGGGUGAGUAACACGUAAGGAAUCUACCUAUAAGCGGGGGAUAACAUUUGGAAACGGGUGCUAAUACCGCAUAAUAUCUUCUUCCGCAUGGAAGAAGAUUGAAAGACGGCUCUGCUGUCACUUAUAGAUGACCUUGCGGUGCAUUAGUUAGUUGGUGGGGUAACGGCCUACCAAGACGAUGAGGCAUAGCCGACCUGAGAGGGUGAUCGGCCACAUUGGGACUGAGACACGGCCCAAACUCCUACGGGAGGCAGCAGUAGGGAAUCUUCCGCAAUGGGCGAAAGCCUGACGGAGCAAUGCCGCGUGAGUGAAGAAGGCCUUCGGGUCGUAAAACUCUGUUAUAAGAGAAGAACAAAUUGUAGAGUAACUGCUACAGACUUGACGGUAUCUUAUCAGAAAGCCACGGCUAACUACGUGCCAGCAGCCGCUGUAA
rnacentral:rRNA from 1 species